rfam:Firmicutes bacterium CAG:24 genomic scaffold, scf287
AAACACGAUAGAGGCGCGGACUUCAUCAGUACCGUGCAGGAGAACGCUCAGGACAGCUGCCUGCAUAAGAAAGGGAAUUCCGCCGAAGGGAUUUAUCCGUCCGGGAUGUUUCCCUGGGCUGCAUCAGAAUAUGCUGCAGACUGUCACAAUUAUGUGGAGCGCUAUCUGAUAU